AGCGGAUUUGUUUGGUAAAUAUUUAGAGUUUAGCUGUUUCGCUUAAAUAAAUACCAGUACAGUCAGUUUUAGCAACAUUAAUUCUGUGAAAUAAUUCAUUUUCAGUCGGACUGAACAUCGCAGUUGUUCGAACGGUGAGACUGGACAGAAAUCUUCACGCUACAGUAUUGGAGGAAGGAAAAGAACACUAGGGGCAAGGGGGAUGCAGACUAGCUCCAUGUCAGUCAAAGAUGAAUAACCCCAAACUUGAUGACCUGAAAGGCCUGUAGUUAUGCACAUGGAGGAAGCUUCAUUAAAAUCUGUACUGAUGACGGUACUAAUGGCAUCACUGAUAUUUACACAGGCUGUAUGGUCCACCAGGCUGUAUGGCCCUUUUGUUAGGAGGAAUCACAAGGUCGGAGUGAGCGAGAGCUCUGUUCGAACCUUCAGCACAGCGGCCUGUAGCUGAGAGCAGGACAACAUGCUGCUCGAGCUGUUUACACUGUGUAUGCUCUCCGGCAGAAUUGCAUUAUGGGAAGGCAAGGCUCAGAUUCCCUCUGUGGAUCUGUCUGCAUUUUCUCAUGCAGCACCCCCCCAAACCCCCCAACCCCUAAACUGGCAGUAAUCACACUUUUGCUCAUACAGCCGUCCGGUGGACGGGGAGGAAGGCUCUGUAAAGCUGGGAGGUGGGGGUUCAGAAUGAAACUGGCAGGGGGAUUUUUGGGGUGUAAUGAAAGUUUUGAGCCCCCGUCAGGCCCAGAUGUGCAGCUCAAUGCGCACUCUCUCCCUGCCAGCCUGCCACCUGCGCCACCGCGCAACUGGCACAGCCCGCCACUUCCGCCCCACAAUUAUCCUCCCGAAUCUGACAGCUGGCACCGUGCCUUCCGUCCGCGCUCUUCACCGCUAAUUUAGCUGAUUUCCACCAGAGGGGACCCUCCAAAAACCCCGAAACCCAAAAACAAGCGGGGGAGGACUGUGAUUGGAGGAUGCGUCAGUAAAAAAACAGCGCCGCGGCGUGGGCGGCCCGUGGGAUCUUGGGAUACGCGAGGGAGGGAACCGUGGGCCUCAGAGGACGCCGCUGCUUCGACACUGAUAUCUGAGCCCUGACUCAAGGCAUAAAACCUGCAGCCCUGCCUGUGUUUUACCUGUGAGCUGUGAGCGGGCCCACUGAUCAUUACUGUUACUCUGUUUCUGCUACCGCAGCUAACGCUAAUGAAAACACAACGGAGGAAAACUGAAAAUCCAUCUGUGUGUGUGUCUGUGGGAGUGUGUGUGUGUGUGUUUGUGUGUGUGUGUGUGUGGGAGUGUGUGUGUUUGUGUGUGUGUGUGGGAGUGUGUGUGUGUGUGUGUUUGUGUGUGCGUGUUUGUGUGUGUGUGCGUGUUUGUGUGUGUGUGGGAGUGUGUGUGUGUGUGUGUUUGUGUGUGUGCGCUAGCACCUCCUGGAGGAGGGGAGGUGGUACAGCAGCACAGGGCGUAGGGCCUGGGUCCUGUCUUCCUAGGGCAGACACACCUGUGGCAGAAGUGUGCUGUUUCAGGUGAAGUAAUUAGAAUAUUACGCAUUUAGUUUUGCUUCUUUUAAUUAGAGUUAAAGUUUAUUUUUUUGUGCCUGAAGUGUUUGAAGACGAGCCAGAUCCCAGCCGUGUUUAAUUAUCUGAGAAACGUGCUGGUGGUGGAGCGCUGCUUUGUGUGAGAGACGCUGAGGGGCUCCAGGUGGCCUGUGUGCUGCCUGCGAUGCUGCCCUCCCUCCGGUGUCAAUUAGAGAGCUUUUCUUUCAGCUGCAAUAACCUCUGCAGUCAGAUCAGCCUUACUGCAUACACCG